ACACAAACAGGAAGAUACUUUCAAUAAAGCCUUUCACAUAUAUAAUCAAACCUCACUUAUCUAGAACUCCCUUCUGUGAGCAUGGCAUGAAAACGUUCCAUUCACAUUCCAGUUAGUAACAAUGCUUCUCCACUUCACUGUGUGCUUUUUUUAAAACUUGGAUAAAAAAAAGAGAUGUGAAUGCAGAUCACUGUUUCAUAAUCUGUUUACCCAACUAACUGUACAUUCUUUUCUAUCAAUAAUGCUUUAAUCAUGUUUCCAUGUCCUCGGCAUGUUUAUCCAAACUCCUCCUGGGAUUUGUUCUGCUAGCUUUGUGCCAGCCCUUGGAAGUGCACUUGAGAUCAAAGAAAACCUUCAGACGACAUUGUUGAAACAUACUGUAUAUCAUUUUACGUUCAUCUUUCAGAUAAAGCUAUGGUGUUGUUUCCAAACCCACUAAAUAACACAGCACUCCAAAUCCAUCAUUUACAUGUCCUGUCAUCAUACUGUUGAAUGGUUGCAAUGGGAGCUGAGGAUGUCUCAAAAUUAAUUUAACUGAAUAGCCUCUUCCAUAUCCACCAACUUUGCAUGAGCUAUGGCUUGCUUCUUCAACCAGACAAAUAACACUGCCACAGUGCUACCCCGUCAAAAUGAGGAAGUUGGGGUUCAUACAGAAUCCGGGAAUUAAAUCGCAGUCGUCAGGGUGCUCAAGAUGGACGGCAAGAAGUAAUAAACAGAAUGGGCACGAUGAACCGCUGGUUACAUUAAUGAACAUUUGAAGAAAUCGUGACAUUUAAAAACGUUGAGCAUUCUCAGUUUUUAUUUUUAAUCAGCCAAAAUAACAGUUAUGUGUGACCUUUACAACUUUCUGGUUGGAUUGAUUGUUCAGUGUGGACAGAGUUCACAUAACAGCUUGAUUCUUAGCAGUGUUCCGUUAUGCGGUUGAGAGCUCUAGUCUUUGCAAAACAAAUCCAUGAAUUAUUGUUAAUGAAUUAAAAGUUAGCUCAAUCCUACAUUUCCAUUAUACUUAUUUUUUUAACUAAAAAGACACACCCUAGCAUAUUGUGUUCAUUGUAUGAGAACCGUAUUAGGCAUGUUUUACUCAUUAAAUGUAAUUUCACAUUCUUAACAGAUAUGUGCUGGAUUUUAGCAUGCUUCUUUCCUGCAGUUAUCCUGUUAGUUUAGGAGUUUAGAAGACUUUAACCUGUUUGGGUCUUUGUAAUAAAACAGCUCAUGAACUUCAAAAAAAAGCUUAGAAAAGAAAGGAAAAUGCUUACAAAAGGUAGUCAAGAAUUUAUGUCUUCCAUAAAAAUAAAAAAUAUUCAUAACAAAGGAACUGACCAAAACUACAAGAGUCCUAACUUAAAGAAACCACAAGAGUAUAAUGGGUUACAUCUUACCUAUUAAUAAAACUAGUCAAAUGUAGCAAUUUACAAAUUGUUUUUGUGAAAAUUUUAAUAGAAUGGAAAGUCAUUUAUAUAAAUAUGUAAAUCAUUUAUCAGUUCUCAGUAACAUAACACUGUGAUGUGAUCUAUGACAUCAAUGUCACUGGAAACUGUUAAAAGGGAUUUAUAACACAGUUUCACAGUUUCUGUUAAUUACAGGCUUGUCUGAGAGGAAGUCUUUUCAGUUCAUCUUGAGCAAUGUCAUGCAGACCACAAGAGCUACUGUACAUAAACACACCAAAAAAAUACUGGGUUGAAAAACAUCCUUUUAUUAGAUCCGUGCCACACACACUAGUGAAAAAUAAUGCUCCUACAAAAAGAAUGCUACCUUUUUUCCACAAUAUAUUUUAAAUAAAAUAACUUCAAGUACUCUGACUUAGGUACAAAAAAAUCUGCUCUAGCUGCCUCCAGUAGGCCACAACACACAGCAGUUCAAACACAGUGGUUACAAAUGUCCUUGUGUCCUCAGUUCUGUGGCAAGGCAGAUGGAGGGAAAUGCUUUUAUGAAAAAUACUGUGUGCGUUGCAAUAUCUUUUAUAUGGAUAAAAAUGAUUAUGUUAGAAUUCGAGGCCCAGGAGGGUUAAAAUUAUAUAAAAAAAUAGAAAAAUGG